UACGUAGGGAGCAAGCGUUGUCCGGAAUUACUGGGCGUAAAGCGUGCGCAGGCGGCUUUGCAAGACAGAUGUGAAAUCCCCGGGCUCAACCUGGGAACUGCAUUUGUGACUGCAGGGCUGGAGUACGGCAGAGGGGGAUGGAAUUCCGCGUGUAGCAGUGAAAUGCGUAGAUAUGCGGAGGAACACCGAUGGCGAAGGCAGUCCCCUGGGCCUGUACUGACGCUCAUGCACGAAAGCGUGGGGAGCAAACAGG
rnacentral:rRNA from 1 species